CUGAUGGGCGCGUCCGGGUCAAUUGCGGCAUGCAACACCCGAUCUCCCUUCCCGUCCCAGCGGAUAUGGACGUGGAACAGGGAGAGCGCGUGACCGUCAG
rfam:Haloarcula marismortui ATCC 43049 chromosome I, complete sequence.